GCCUUCGUAGCUCAAUGGUAGAGCGUUGACUUUGAAAGCCAAGGGUUGGUGGUUCGAUCCCGUCCGGGACA
rfam:Phytophthora parasitica INRA-310 unplaced genomic scaffold supercont2.51, whole genome shotgun sequence.